CCCUUAGAGGGGGCUACCACAUCCAAGGAAGGCAGCAGGCACGCAUAUUACCCACUCCCGGCACGGGGAGGUAGUGACAAAAAAUAACGAUACGGGACUCAUCCGAGGCCCCGUAAUCGGAAUGAGAACACCCUAAAUCCUUUAACGAGGAUCUAUUGGAGGGCAAGUCUGGUGCCAGCAGCCGCGGUAAUUCCAGCUCCAAUAGCGUAUAUGAAAGUUGUUGCGGUUAAAAAGCUCGUAGUUGGUUCUGCGUGCCACGCUGUCGGUUCACCGCCUGUCGGUGCAACUGGCAUGCCGUGGCAUGUCCUGUCGGUGGCUGACGGGCUUCGCUGCGCGCCCCGCUCGCUAACGCGUGUGUGGUCUACGCGCAGUGUUGUCCUCGUUGGCCGGCUCAAUCCUACCGCGGUGCUCUUAAACGAGUGUCGAGGUAGGCCGACACUGUUUACUUUGAACAAAUUAGAGUGCUUCACGCAGGCUCUGAAAGCAGCCUGAAUAGUGGUGCAUGGAAUAAUGGAACAGGACCUUGGUUCUAUUUUGUUGGUUUCCGGAAUCCAAGGUAAUGAUCAAUAAGGACAGGCGGGGGCAUUCGUAUUGCGACGUUAGAGGUGAAAUUCUUGGAUCGUCGCAAGACGUACUAGAGCGAAAGCAUUUGCCAAGUAUGUCUUAAUUGAUCAAGAACGAAAGUUAGAGGUUCGAAGGCGAUCAGAUACCGCCCUAGUUCUAACCAUAAACGAUGCCAGCCAGCGAUCCGCCGAUGUUCCUCCGAUGACUCGGCGGGGAGCUUUCCCCGGGAAACCAAAGCUUUUGGGUUCCGGGGGAAGUAUGGUUGCAAAGCUGAAACUUAAAGGAAUUGACGGAAGGGCACCACCAGGAGUGGAGCCUGCGGCUUAAUUUGACUCAACACGGGAAACCUCACCAGGCCCGGACAUUGGAAGGAUUGACAGAUCGAUAGCUCUUUCUCGAUUCAGUGGGUAGUGGUGCAUGGCCGUUCUUAGUUGGUGGACUGAUUUGUCUGGUUAAUUCCGAUAACGAACGAGACUC
rnacentral:rRNA from 1 species